GGAGUUUCUGACUGACCACUUUCUUUCCUGGUACAGAUGGAAGAGCUAUACUUUCCGUAAUAAAAUCAUCUUCAUGCAUGACAAUGCACCAUUUCAUGCUGCAAAGAAUACCUCUGCAUCAGUGGCUGCUAUGGGGAUAAAAGGAGAGAAAGUUGUGGUGUGGCCUCCAUCCUCCCCUGACCUCAAUCCUAUUGAGAACCUUUGGAGCAUCCUCAAGCAAAAGAUCUAUGAGGGUGGGGAGGCAGUUUACAUCCAAACAGCAGCUCUGGGAGGCUUUUCUGACAUCUUGCAAACAAAUUCAAGCAGAAACUGUCCAAAAACUCACAUGUUCAAUGGAUGCAAGACUUGUGAAGC